rnacentral:lncRNA from 1 species
CCCAAUAUUGGGAGGGCUAGGUGGGUUACAUAAUUUUGGGCCAACUUUGACACCCGUAGCUUUAGGAUAUAAUCACCUUAUUAAGUGAUAAAUAAAAGCAAAAACCAGAAACAAAGGGAAAUAAAACAAGUUAAAGCGACAGUGAAGACAUACACACUGUAGCCUGGAAAGCAACCACGGCAACUAACAAGAUAUUACCAAUGCCACUAUCUAAUUUCUCCUUUUCUUUUACCCUCUGAAUGGGCAAGGGACUAUAGCUGUAUACACCAUUAGCCCGGAAGUUAAAACAUAUAAACUGAAAGGAGUCUAGAUACUAGUAAAAGCAUAGGGCACAUUUGUUUGUCUUAACAGCAACACAGAAUAUAAACUGACAGCUAGAAGUUAUAGGUAACUAAGUGGCCGUCGCAAAAUACACGAGAAUCUAAAGUCACUUGGCAAGCAUCAUGCGGACAAACUCCUCGUAAUUAACUUGCCCAUCGCCAUCAAUAUCUGCUUCUCGGAUCAUCUCAUCAACCUCUUCAUCAGUCAGCUUCUCUCCAAGGUUUGUCAUUACAUGACGAAGCUGAAAUGUAAAUUGUAGAUAUAAGAGGCUAAGAAUCAGCUGCACACAAUACUAGCAAAGGAAAAAACUACUAGCAUGUUUAAUUGCACUUUACUCAUUAUUACAUGCAGAAAAUAACUUUUCUGCAGAAAGGUACCUCGGCUGCAGAAAUAAAGCCAUUCUGAUCUUUAUCGAAAAAAAUUGCACUUUACUCCUAAUUACUUGCAGAAAAUAACUUUUCUGCAGAAAGGUACCUCAGCUGCAGAAAUAAAGCCAUUCUGAUCUUUAUCGAAAACCUUGAAAGCUUCUUUGAGUUCUUCCUCAGAAUCAGUGUCCUUCACAAGAAUAGUCCAAAUCAUAUUUCAUCGUGAAAGAGGUAAAAGCUGGAACAUUGUCUUCCCAAGUAUAAAACUUAGUAUUUGAGAAUAAUACUGCUGUUCAUGAAAGAGGUAAAAGCUAGAACAUUGUGUUCCCAAGUAUAAAAACUUAGUAUUUGAGCUCAAUACUGCUAGAUUUGGCACUUAAGAAUAUUUGACAAGUGAUGAAUAAAGCAUAUUUCUGUUUUCCUUGUCAUGUUUUUAUAAGAUGCAAUGGGGAAACAAUAACAAAAUGCUAAAAGAACGAAAGGAAGAAUUAACCAAUCACUGAUCCCUCGAUGAUUAUACUCAGGAUAGUGACUUGGAUAUCUACAUAGUCCUCUUCACGUCAAGAGCCAUUUUUUCAAUAAGAAAGAAUGACUAAUUGUAAAACCUUCUGACAAACAAAUCUUGUCAAAAUGUCUCAUUGGUGCCUACAGAACUUUGAACAAGGUUUGGCUUGAAUGGUUUUAUAGAAUCUAGGAAGCGUCCAGACAAUUGCAUACUCAAUUUUGACCCAAAGAUAUCUUAAUACCAAAGAGGCUGCCAGUAUUUCACGUUGAAAGCAUGUUAUCGAGUUGAUAUCUGACAAGUACAAAUAUAUGGAGUUGGAUCACACCACGACAAUCCCUAAUCACAGAAAAUAAUUUACCCAAAAGAAAUCAGAGCACUAACAUAAGAUGACAAAUUAUUAUAUGCAUGAAUAAACCACAACUUCAAGAAACAGAAAGGAUUUGGAUCAUAACAGCAAAGUAGACAUCCACACUAGUCUAAGAGUCCAAAUUGUCUAUAAGACCAAUUUUCAAGGAGGCGUCUGAAAAAGUACUUGAGAAAACCUGAUAACAUCACAAAUAUCUCAACAGUGCCAAAUAAGAAAGAUUGUAACAUUAUAUCAAAAAAGCUAGAGCUCCUAUAC